rnacentral:rRNA from 3 species
AAAAAGAACCUGAAACCGUGUACGUACAAGCAGUGGGAGCACAGGUUUACCUGUGUGACUGCGUACCUUUUGUAUAAUGGGUCAGCGACUUAUAUUCUGUAGCAAGGUUAACCGUAUAGGGGAGCCGGAGGGAAACCGAGUCUUAACCGGGCGUUAAGUUGCAGGGUAUAGACCCGAAACCCGGUGAUCUAGCCAUGGGCAGGUUGAAGGUUGGGUAACACUAACUGGAGGACCGAACCGACUAAUGUUGAAAAAUUAGCGGAUGACCUGUGGCU